GUCUCCGUAGCUCAAUCGGAUAGAGUAACCCUCUCCUAAAGGGUAGAUCUCGGUUCAAUUCCGGGCGGGGACG
rnacentral:tRNA from 1 species